rnacentral:lncRNA from 1 species
AUUAAUUCUCUAAUUCAAUUGGACUAGUAGACAGUCCCUUAAAAAUACUAAUGCCUCAAGAAAUGUGAUGUAAUUUUUGCUCUUUAAGGGUGAGAUUUACAAAGACGACGAUAUAUUAUUCUCGAUAUUAAUCUAUUAUUUUGCCAUUUAAUGUAUGGGUUUCCUGACAGUUCUGUAAGUAUUGCACUUUAAUCGUUUUUCAUUUAUUUUUUUAUUGGACGAUGAGCUGCAUUCUUUGUAAAACGAGGAUAAAAAAGUCAGACUUUAGUUCCAAAUACUGCAAAAAAUAAAAAUAAAUGAAAUGGCAUAUGGCACCAUCAGAUUACAGUGAGCACAGAUUCUGCUGUAGAUUGGAUGCUUUGCAACGUUUUUUUAAUUGCAGGUCAGCUAGGGAUUGUUGAAGAUACGUGGAAUUGUUUUUUUGUUGUUAUUGUCUCUCCGUCGCGAGUAUUACAAAGGGUUAGAGGUACACCCACAGCACAGUGCACAAGUCAGUGAAAGGAAGACGUCAAGGUCUUGAGGUAAAGAGGUCAGGAUUGUAUUAAAAACCAGAACAACGCACUUGGCGAUCAGUGACGGAGCUGUGUCGUGUAGGAAAGCAUGGCUACUGUCCACAGGGGCGAUUCGCCUCUGUUAGGAUUGCGAGACGCCCCGAUUGAUGGAAAAACACACUCGUCCUCGUUUUUUACGAAUAAAAUUGGAGGUCUACCGGACGUUUUCCCUUCCUUGACAGUGCACUAUCCGCGCUGCUCUGUGUGCAGCGGAGUACUUGCUCACGUUGUGCAAGUAUACUGCCCCCUGGAGGGGUCUCCCUAUCACCGCACCAUAAAUGUAUUCGCUUGCCCGAGUCCAGCGUGCUAUGGAAACUCACUCAGCUGGAAAGUGUUGCG